rnacentral:rRNA from 1 species
AUUGAACGCUGGCGGCAUGCCUUACACAUGCAAGUCGAACGGCAGCACGGGUGCUUGCACCUGGUGGCGAGUCGCGAACGGGUGAGUAAUAUAUCGGAACGUACCUUAUUGUGGGGGAUAACGCAGCGAAAGCUGUGCUAAUACCGCAUAAUCCCUAAGGGGGAAAGCGGGGGACCGUAAGGCCUCGCGCAAUUAGAGCGGCCGAUACCUGAUUAGCUAGUUGGUGAGGUAAAGGCUCACCAAGGCAACGAUCAGUAGCUGGUCUGAGAGGACCAUCAGCCACACUGGGACUGAGACACGGCCCAGACUCCUACGUGAGGCAGCAGUGGGGAAUUUUUGACAAUGUGGGCCACCCUGAUCCAGCAAUGCCGAGUGAGUGAAGAAGGCCUUCGCGUUGUAAGGCUCUUUUGUCAGGGAAGAAACAGCAGCUCUAACACAGUAUGCGAAUGACGGUACCUGAAGAAUAAGCACCGGCUAACUACGUGCCAGCCGCCGCCGUAA